AGAUUGAACGCUGGCGGCAUGCCUUACACAUGCAAGUCGAACGGCAGCACGGGAGCAAUCCUGGUGGCGAGUGGCGAACGGGUGAGUAAUAUAUCGGAACGUGCCCAGUAAGUGGGGGAUAGCCCGGCGAAAGCCGGAUUAAUACCGCAUACGACCUACGGGUGAAAGCGGGGGAUCGCAAGACCUCGCGUUAUUGGAGCGGCCGAUAUCAGAUUAGCUUGUUGGUGGGGUAAAAGCCUACCAAGGCGACGAUCGUGUAGCUGGUCUGAGAGGACGACCAGCCACGACUGGGACUGAGACACGGCCAGACCUCCGUACGGGAGCAGCAGUGGGAUCGUGACAAGUGGCGAAAGCCUGACUCCAGCCAUGCCGCGUGUAGGGAAGGA
rnacentral:rRNA from 1 species